CAUUCUUGGCUCCCAGCUCCUCAAUCCACUUUGUGAAGCCGACAUUCUUGGCUUGUAGCAUCUCAUUCUGCUUCCUGAUGUAAUCAUUCUUGGCUUGCACCUCCUCAUUCUGCUUUGUCAGGCCAUCAGUGUUGUCUUGCAGCUCCUCAUUUUGCUUCAUUAGGCUGUCAUUCUUGGCUUGCAGCUCCCUGUUCCCCUUCCUCAUGCCAUCACUCAUGGUUUGCAAUUCUAUAUUAUUCUUCACUAGGCCAUCAUUUUUGUCUUGCAGCUCCCCAUUCACCACCUUCAUGCAGUCAUUACUGGUUUGCAGUACCUCAUUUUGCUUCACCAGGCCAUUAUUAUUGUCUUGCAACUCCUCAUUUUGCUUCACCAAGUCAUCAUUCUUGUUCCGCAGCUCCUCAUUCGACUUUCUCAUGCCUUCAUACUUGGCGUGCAUCUCCUCAUUCUUCAUCCUCAAGCACUGUAUUUCUUCUGCAUUCAGAGCCAGCUCAACUCUCAACUUCUGAUUCGCCUCACAGUAUCCAAGCUUUUUCACAUCCUCGUCAAGUUGAGCCCUCAGAUCCUCGAUCUCAUUUAAAAUCCUCUGAGAAUCAUCGCAAGCCACCUUCAAAUGUUCUGCCCAUGGGUGACAAUAUUAAAGCAUGGCAUGAAGACAAGCGUGAAAGAUCUAAGUAGAUUUUCAGUUCUGCCCCAAGAUCCUGGCCUGUUGAGGCUGCAGAAACCAAGAAAACAUUUCCCUUCAGUAAGUGCAAGCUAUAUAUCCCACCACAGGUACAGCUAGGUGAGCAAUCUAUCACAAAGUCUGUUCCUGAGAAUAGUACAUGUUACAGCUGAACAUAAACAUAGUAAAACGAACUAGAGAAUGAGAUGGCUGGACACAAACUGAUUUUUUUCAACAAAACUAAAAUAAUAAGAUGUGUGAUGUGCCAACAAAACUGAUGAUCCAAGCAACCAAUUAGUGUCAGCAUAUCAAGUCAGCCUUCAGAAACCUUGGACGCUUGAUUCUGACUAAUUAUCACUGUUGAUUUCUCUUGACAUUUACCUAAGCUAAUUCAAGUGUAAUUGUUCCCGGCUAACUGUACCACGUCACUACACUCUGUUGCUACAAAUUCCACCACUCAGAUAGUCAGAUUGCUAAUCCUGAAGCCCAAAAGGUCUCCAUUCGUUAGCCAAUUGAAAGAGUAUGUGACCCUAACCCAAGGUCGCAGUACAGUU